UUCAUAACUCAUUGUAUAGGUUACCAUUCCAAUGUAGAUGAGUUAAAAAAUUUAAACUUGACUUAAUCCACUUACAAAAAAGUAGAAUUUCCAGAUCAUUUCACACGUUUGGAACAACAAGAGGAUUGAAAUAACCUACUCCAUGAAGGAAAAGAGUGCUUUUUAGGGCUGGUACGUGUCGGUGGCCAGCAGCAACCGGCGACGGUUACGCACGAGCAUGUGUCGGUGAAUUCCGUACGAAUGCACACCUUGUCGGUGAACGUUUCGUAUUGAAAAAACGGACAUGGUUGAUCACGGGAUGCCAUUGUUGGGGUUGGAAAUUGGGGAAAGAAGCCAUGGGCACCGUGCGGGGAAUGUUGGAUCGGAUCAGCGGCGCUUCCCAGCACAUGAAUGGCCGAGUGUAGGUCACACCACCCGAGAAAGCCAAACCGGAGAGCGAGGGUAGCUCUGACAAAUCCAACAAGAACAAGGCGAAGCAACCCACUCCUCGUAAGGAUGCAAAAGCAACAGAUUCAGAGAAGUCGAAAGGAUCUGCUGACUCCACCACGAGCAAAGAGAAGAAAGAGGUUAAGCGAAGUAAACCUCCACCGAAGAAAGGUAAGUAGAACUUCAAUGGACAUGCUGAAACCGCUGGAUUGUGCAACAUUCAACAUAGCGAUGGAUAUCCUGAACAAAAACGAAGUGUAACCCACUAGCAAUAAGACGAGAAAUACCGCCAGUAGUCGAUCCUGAGACUGAGAAGAUUUGGCUUGAGGUGAAUGGGAAGCAGCAUUUCUAUGUAGAAAAAGUCUUUACACACACACAUCUUUCAAUUGAAAGACUGCCACACCGAAAAGCUGUGCUGAGCUUACAAUCUCUUCGUCAAGUUGCAGAAUGGCAGAAGCCUUGCAAGUAGGUUUCAUGCAUCUCAAUGUUUCCAAACACAAGGAGCUAAAUAACAAUCGACUUAUACAUAGAAUCCUCUUUUCUGAAGAACAUAUUUUAAAAUGAGUUUAGAAUGAUCUGAAUGUUAAAACUAUCCCUUCCUGAAAUUGAUGACUGGACCACCAGUGUGGUUAUAUUAUAUUAUUUUUCAUUAAGCCAUAAUAAAUUUAGAAUACAUUAUGAAUGUGCA